CUGCUUCAAGAAAGAAAUAUGACUUCUACAGAUAGUACAAAAAUAGGUGCAAAGUGAAAGCAAUCUGUCAGUGCACUUCUAGCAGAUAUUCCACCCCUGAAGAGUAUUAGAUUCAAACCUAUGAGAUCUCUUCAUCACCCUUCAGCUGUCAAUCUGCCCAAUAACAUUGAUCUGUAGUUCGGAUAAUUGUUUUUCCAAAGCAUACGCCACCCCCUAUUAUCAUAUGGGAUAGUGUACACACUAGUUAGAUUUUUAUAAAAGAGCAGCAUAAGCUUAGAAGCUUCCACUGCUCAAGCAACCUUUGAAUCACAUCUAAUAGUAUGUCUAAACUGAAGGGAGCAUACACUUCCAGAGGUGUGAUAAUUUCAUCUACAACACAAAUCAUAGUUAUCAUGUCAGUGUGAUCAUUUCUGCACUUCUAAGCUUGAUGUACUGAGGC
rnacentral:sRNA from 1 species